rnacentral:lncRNA from 1 species
UUAGCUUUACCAAAGGCUUUAAGAUCUUUAGCGUUGACAAAUUGCCAGUUUGUUCUAUGUAAAUAUAUAUUACAAAGUGUUUUUGAUGAACCAAUCCAAUGAAAUGACGUUUAAUAUCUGGUAAAGAGCAUACACGCUCGUGUGACAAUAGGCAGCCAUUAACGAGAUACGGUUCUGUUCGUUAUAAGAUGGCAACGACGAAAAAUCCUGCUAGGGCAAUGAAAGGGGAACGCCCAACGACCAGUCAGUUACUGGUUAAUGAAUAAUACAUCAAACUUGUUUACGUGAAUUUUCUAGAGGUCUUCGUAUAAUCAAGUCGCUGGAAUGUUGUUGUGUAUCAGUACAAUGUUAUCUCAACGAGAAUCGGCUGAUCAGAGUCACCAAUAACAAUUGCUCCCGUGGUAAACGCUUGAAACAACUUACAUGAUCAAGCGGAAAUGCCGUAUAAAUAUAAUAGCGGCUGGUAAUGCUUGUCUUCAGGGGCGAAUUAGACUGCAAAACAAGAACUUUGAUCUACUAUUGUCGGGGCAAUAUCUUCUUGUUCUUCAAACGGGAAGAAGACCAUAUAGAGUAGCGUUUCGUGGCGUUCUCAUGCAUGACUCUAUAUCCAGUACAAUGGGCUUGAAAACCUCAUGCACUUCAAGCACUCUUCGCGCAGUUGAUCAAAACACAGGAGCACCAGCACCAGCAGCAGCAGCAGCAGCAAAACCAGUAAAUGGAUAAGCGAUGUGGUCCUUCAUCCAUAUAUCUCUAAUCUACAAUUCAUUCUUGAGCAAAAAUAGAUAAAUCGUAGAGAUCGCCCUACCGUCGGGGGGGCAAUCUGUGAUAAAAUAGUGCUGUUGUCAUUAAUAUCGCAACGCUGGAUAUAAAAGCUGACAGUGGGUUGAGCCCGUGUUAGGGUGCUCUGCCAUAUGAACAAACAGUGAUCUGAUAGUCGAUAACGUGCUCCGGCUUGCAUUUGUUUCAAGGUACUUCCGGAAUAGGAUGAUCGUUCGGAAGUAAAGUUGUAUUAGUUCUGAGUAGUGAAAUACUAUAGGCAUUGUCGUUUUUGCCUUAUGAUGUACUAGAUACAAAGGUGCGCCCUUUUCUCAAUGGAAAUAUAUAUGGAACUUCAUACGGCGAAUUGUUUGCCAACAAUGACAAGAUAGCUCUAUUCUAACACAAUCUUUUGUGUACUAGAUUGUGUCAAAAGGAAAACUCACAUUAAAUUAUUACACCAUUGUGUAGUUUAUUAAUGGAGCUGAACUCAUCUCAUCGAUUCGCGGAGUCGUUGCACAUUAGGCUGAUCUUAAUGGUCGAAUAUAUGAAAUCGUUUCUACAUUCAUUCACAGGUUUUUAAACCUAUCUCACUCGUUUACGUCUAUUCAACAGCACCGAAGACCUAAUACGAUACGAUCUACGGUGUUUUACAACCUUCCAUUUACAUUUGUUCCCACUUUAUCCAAAGUUCAUCCGAUCAGAUUCAAGGUUUCGAGCUUCUUCCAUGUCGUCUUAGUAGCAAGCGCUUUAUACCGACACGAGUCAACCGUUUUGUUUGGCACUUUUAUAAGUGUUUUAAACGACAAUGCCCCACGAGCCGCUAGUUGGUCGCAUCGGCUUUUUGAAAGCGUUGUUCGUCCAGUUCAUUAACAGUCGACCUGUUCAGCAAUGGCAACGCACUGCACAAGAAGUAUCUGCCUCCUGUGCCCCCCAUGGAGAAAGCUAACUCACCGGGCUACGCUGAAGAAGACCCUAAGCAAAUGCUCCGCUGACGUUUCGCAUGGAAGAUGGUCACUUCACGCGAAGUCGCUCGAACGAAACACCAUAUUUUAUACAAGAAACUGUGGCAGGAGCCCUCAAGUCAAAUUACAUAGACAGUUUAUCUUUUCUAGUCACUUCUAGAUGCGAUUGCCUUUUCUCUAUCGGUCCACACGCAUCAUUACACAGCCUAGAUCGGAAAGCCAUAAUGCUUGCGAUUCCGAGGCUGUUUUAGCAACAGUCAAAUUGAGCGCGUGUCAACUUUUGACGGCGGAACAUAACGAUCAACAGCAGGCCCAUUUUAAUGUCUAACUGCUCCUAAAGAGGAAAUUGUCGACCGAUUGACGUUGUGACAAAACAGAAUCACUGUCGCAGAUAUUUGCGGGGUCGCAGGAGGAGGCCGAGGGAUGUUCGCUGAGAAUCAUGGAUGCGUCACGUAACAUAUUAUUCUACCGUUCUCACUUCAUGCUUGCUUUUCCAGUUCUAUCUCUUGGCAGGAUAUGGCUAAACAUGCUCGAAUGUGCUGUUGGACAUCAUAGUAACUUUCCAUUGCCCCACAAUUGGCAAGCGCUCGACACAGCAGUUAUUAAUCUUUUCAGCAAAGAUGAUGCGAGUCGGCGUCAAGUAUACGAAGAAGAACUUCGGCCGGUCGAAGACAUGGUAGAAGCAGCAAUAGCAAAGACGAAUGGCAGUGGGCUCGCCAAGUGAGACGAACUCAUACGUGCGAUUAAAAUGGCAACGUCGCAGGAACAAUGCCCGAAACCCAACGCUACCGUCCCUGCUGCAAUGAACACAUAUACGUAUGUAUACACAUCCAUCCAGUGAAGCGCAGCACGGCGGUACCAUGGAAUCUGACGCUGAUACAACCGUCGACCUACGCAGAUGGAUGAUGUGGGCGUUUAUAGAGAACUGUGGGUUACAGGAAUUUUCCUGCGCGAUCUGUUAUUUUUUCACUUUCGGUGUGCUUUGAUUGACCUGCCGACUGUUUCAGCAAUGGGUGCCUGGAGGUUUGAAACUUCGCACAAAAGGAUAUCUAUAGGCUUUCAAGGUUUGUAAUUUCAACAAGCAGGCCAUUAAACAAUGGAUAAACGAACAGCGGAUCACAGACUGACGAUGAUCGAUACCAGCGAGGAAACAAGCAACCUUUUCGACAAAGCCCUAUCAUCGUCAUCAUCGUGGACCGAUGUUUCAAAAACCGUGGCCUGAAUUGAAAUUUUGGCACAUGGAUGCGUCCGCUUCAGACGUCGCUGGUUCGAACGUGCUGUUAUGUGACAGAUAUCUAUGGCUGAGCAAGUAAAAAAACGAAGCAGCAACCGAAAAACUACUUCCAUAAACCAAACGAAGCUAUAUCUCGGCCCGUAACC